UCGGUCCAAAAUCAAGGACCGUAUUGGCAACGUAUUUCCUUGUAUCAGGACCGUAUUGGAUCACUUCUCAACAUCCAAGACCAUGUUGGACCUUGCCGCCAACUUCCGUGACUAUACGUGCAAUUAUCUCGGAUUUCACCUAUGUAGCUGCCACACACAUUUUUCUCAUCGUGAUUUCUCUCUGUCUCUCGUGAUCUCCCUCCAGCCUGAUGGUCGCCGGCAUUCUCUCGCCACUAGGAACACCCUGCUCUCAAGUUGCUCCAUUCUCUCGUCAUCACAUCCUUGCUUCCUUUCACCUUGUUAUAUCCAGCUCCUCCUCCCACACCGGUCAUAGCUUCAAGUGGCACAAGAUUACGGUGUGAGUCAGCGCAAGUGGCUGCACUUUCCCUCCUCAGCUAAUCCAGGACCUGCAAGUGGCCAGAAAAUGUCAGUUGCACCGGUUUUUGCAAAGGAGGAGGUCGGAGGUUAUCAAGCCACUAUGGCGAGCUCCAUGCCUUGGUCGGGUCUGUAAUUUGGCUAGGACUAAGGUUCUUUUUUUAUCUAUGCCUACAAGAUGUUUGACGAAAAUCCAAAGCGUGCUCCAAGAAAAGAUUAAUAUGUGUAAUAUCCAUCCUCCGUUGUCCGCUCAAUAACUUUUUUUUCCAGAAGUUAAAGCUACGGCGACAAAGUGCUGGAGAACCCGACAAUGUUUUCUUUUGUUGGAACCAAGUUUUUUUUUUUUUUGCUAGAACCAGCUUCAAAUUUUGCUAUCACAGUCUUUAGUUUUUAUUGAAACCAACAAAAACUUUUGCUACCACGUUUGUUUACUUGCUGGAACCAGUGUACCAAUUUGCUACCACCGUCUUUGUUUUUGCUGGAAUUUUUAUGCCAUCUCUUCGUUUGUUGGAACAAUUGUACCACUUUUGCUACAACCAUUUUGGUUUUUGCUACUACUGCAUUGUCAAUUGUUA